CAUUAUACAAAUAUACAUGGCUGCAUAGUUCUACUACUCUCCAAUUAACAUAAAUUGUACAAGUGAGUCUGAUCAAGAAAUGAAAAGACAGGGAAAUGUAUCACCACGCUAUAUGCUUGCACUAUUCCGAAGUUUAUUUUAUAGUUAGCCACUCAAUUAAUGACGUUUAUGAUAGACAACUUUGGAGUCAGUACCCUCUUUGGACGAGAAAAUUAUGAAUACUACGCAAGAAUGACGGGACAUGUGUUAAAAUUGGAAAAAAAUUGGGUCUAUGCUUUCUAUUUUCCUCUAGUUAAUUUCGUAUCUCCUACAACUUCAGAAGAGGAAUCUGAAAAUACUCCAGUUCUCAUUCAUUCUUGUGAGUCAGUGGUAAAUGUUGACAAUACCCCACAGAUAAAGCAGAAAAAUAAAUAUCAUCAACUUAGAUUGUCUUUUGAACAAAAUGGCACUUACAUAGCUGGUUCUCCUUCUUUCCCUGCUUGCUCCAACAGCCUCAGUUUGAAUGAACUCAAAGCUGUGAAUUGUCAUGCUGAGAGCACCAAAUCUGUUUCUUUCCUGCUGCAGGUUCAUGAAAAGCAUAUAGCUCGUAUGAGGACCCGUUCUGAGUGGUUUUCUACUCCCUCCCCAUCCUCUUCUUCAACUUCUUUUUUCAUUGGAUCCAUGAAGGUGGGAGUACACAGCACAUGCUGAUAAGGUUUCCCAGAUGGAAGAGAAACAAGAAGUUCCAUAUUAUCUGUACCUUCCAUCUAAGGGUUGCUUUCAAAAUAGCUUCUUUUCUUGUAAAGGAAAAGCAGUUAGUUUGGAGCACAUUUGUCACAGAUAAGAUACUGGUUUGAUGCUCAUUAAGUAAGAAACAAGCAAAAUAAAGAAAAUGGAAAAUUGGUAGCAGUAAUUACGCCACAAGCCAUGGCAGUGAAGUACUGGAAAAAGUGUCUCUAUAGUGAAAAUGGGAUUACAAACUACGAUUAAACUGUACAAAAUAUACAUACCCAUCCUGUAACUUUAAAAAUCAAAUGUGUUUUCACUGAUUAUAAUUAUAAGCUGUAGUUAAAUAUAUUAAGUUACCAUCCAGUGAUUUGUGUUAUUAACAUUUUUCUUGUAUUUGUAUAGUAAGUCACCUCUGUUGUUAGAGUGUAACUUAAGUACAUUAUAUCAGAUUUCCAUUUUUACUCAAACAACAUUUAUUAAACAGGUAGUAACAGUUUAUUGCCAUUCCUGAGGUAAGUUUGUCUGAAAUACAUGUGAUCCUUGUAUUAGUUAAAUAGAAAAACAUUUUAAUAAAAUGUUUAUUUAUGAUUCAAAGAACUCUUGAGCAACAAUUUUAAAGUAUUAUUAUUAAUACUAAUUAGUGUAUUAUUGUUUCAUCAAUGAGCUGCCAGAUAGCACUAUGACAUAAUAUAAUACAUACUGAUAUUAAAGGUCAUUAACCUUCAUUUGCCAAGAAUAAAGACUGUUUGUUGCUAGUAGUAAAAGGAAACUAUAUUUAUGAUUCUGAUAUUUGAACAAAUCUCUGCCCAUCAAAUGAUUCAUAAGAAAAGGUUCAACAGUCACAUUUUGAGGUUGAGUUUAAUGGUUUAUAGGUUUGGAGAAAUUAAAAAUAUAAUUCACACAAACUUAGAGGCAUGUCAUCAAGGUUAGUCUACAAUCUAUUAAUUACUGAUGUUACCUUGUGUACCUAUGCGACUUUAUAUUUUUUAACUCUAUCAGACUGGGAACUUCAUUUUGAAGCAAGUUAGGUAGUUCUUGUUACAUUUCAUUCCAAAAAUAAAACUAAUUGAUGAAAAUGA